rnacentral:rRNA from 1 species
GCCUAAAGCGUCCGUAGCCGGCUAUGUUAGUUUUCGGUUAAAUCCAUGUGCUCAACACAUGGGCUGUCGAGAAUACUGCUUAGCUAGGGAGUGGGAGAGGUAGACGGUACUCUGGAGGAAGUGGUAAAAUGCUUUGAUCUCUAGAUGACCACCAGUGGCGAAGGCGGUCUACCAGAACACGUCCGACGGUGAGGGAUGAAAGCUGGGGGAGCAAACCGGAUUAGAUACCCGGGUAGUCCCAGCUGUAAACUAUGCAAACUCAGUGAUGCAUUGGCUUGUGGCCAAUGCAGUGCCGCAGAGAAGUCGUUAAGUUUGCCGCCUGGGAAGUACGUACGCAAGUAUGAAACUUAAAGGAAUUGGCGGGGGAGCACCACAAGGGGUGAAGCCUGCGGUUCAAUUGGAGUCAACGCCAGAAAUCUUACCCGGAGAGACAGCAGAAUGAAGGUCAAGCUGGAGACUUUACCAGACAAGCUGAGAAGUGGUGCAUGGCCGUCGCCAGCUCGUGCCGUGAGAUGUCCUGUUAAGUCAGGUAACGAGCGAGAUCCCUGCCUCUAGUUGCCACCAUUACUCUCAGGAGUAGUGGGGCGAAUUAGCGGGACCGCCGCAGUUAAUGCGGAGGAAGGAAGGGGCCACGGCAGGUCAGUAUGCCCCGAA